AGAGGAAGUAAAAGUCGUAACAAGGUUUCCGUAGGUGAACCUGCGGAAGGAUCAUUAAUGAAACUUCAAAGUCGGCCAAAGGUUGUUGCUGGUGAUUAUUCACAUGUGCACGCCUUUGGUCGCAAAUCCACACACACCUGUGCAUCUAUGACUCGAGGUUGUAAUGACUGAGAGUAACUUUUAUACACUCUUGUAUGUAAUGGAAUGUCUUUUUGUGCUAUAAUGUACAAUAUAAACAACUUUCAACAACGGAUCUCUUGGCUCUCGCAUCGAUGAAGAACGCAGCGAAAUGCGAUAAGUAAUGUGAAUUGCAGAAUUCAGUGAAUCAUCGAAUCUUUGAACGCACCUUGCACCCUUUGGUAUUCCGAAGGGUACGCCCGUUUGAGUGUCAUUGUAAUCUCACUUCUACAACUUUAUUGUUGUUUGAAUGUGGACUUGGAUGUUGCCGUUUUAUCACGGCUCGUCUUAAAUGCCUGAGUGUACCCUGUUUUGCAGCGUAUCCAGUGUAAUAAACAUUUCACUAGAGUUGGUYGAAAGACCRCGUUGACUAUAUGGGCUCUAUGCUUCAAACCGUCUGCCAUGUGGACAAUUUCUUGACAAUUUGACCUCAAAUCGGGUGGGACUACCCGCUGAACUUAAGCAUAUCAAUAAGCGGAGGAAAAGAAACUAACAAGGAUUCCCCUAGUAACGGCGAGUGAAGAGGGAAAAGCUCAAAUUUUAAAUCUGGUGUCUUUGACUCCCGAGUUGUAAUCUAGAGAAGUGUUUUCCGUGUCGGACCGUGUACAAGUUCCCUGGAACGGGGCGUCAUAGAGGGUGAGAAUCCCGUAUAUGCCACGGACUACCGAUGCUCUGUGAUACACUCUCAACGAGUCGAGUUGUUUGGGAAUGCAGCUCAAAAUGGGUGGUAAAUUCCAUCUAAAGCUAAAUAUUGGCGAGAGACCGAUAGCGAACAAGUACCGUGAGGGAAAGAUGAAAAGCACUUUGGAAAGAGAGUGAAACAGUACGUGAAAUUGUUGAAAGGGAAGCGUUUGAAGUCAGUCGCAUCUGUUGGGGUUCAGCCUGGCUUUUGCCUGGUGUAUUUCCUUUCCGAUGGGUCAGCAUCAGUUUCGACCGAGGGAAAAAGACAUUUGGAAUGUGGCUGUCUUCGGGCAGUGUUAUAGCCUUGUGUUGUAUGUCUCGGUUGGGACUGAGGAUUGCAGCGCGCCAUAAAUGGCCGGGGGUCGCUCCUCUCGACACGCGCUUAGGAUGCUGGCAUAAUGGCUUUAAGCGACCCGUCUUG
rnacentral:rRNA from 1 species